rnacentral:lncRNA from 1 species
CAUAGAUGUGAGACGAUGGGGGAUAAGCUUCAUUGUCGACAGGGAAACAACCCAGAUCGCCAGCUAAGGCCUCUAAAUGAUCGCUCAGUGAUAAAGGAGGUAAGGGUGCAAAGACGGCCAGGAGGUUUUCCUAGAAGCAGCCACCCUUGAAAGAGUACGCCGCAUUUCGCUCAAAUGGUUGAAGGGAGAUAGUGCAUCAAGCUAUUCGCAAGGGCCAACUUGAUCCUCUUCCCAAGGGAUCUCAAAUGAGGGACCCUGGGAGAGCCACCGACACCAACUACCGUCCAUGUAUGAUCCAUACUAGAUCUGACUAACUGUCCAUCCUACCUCCUU